rnacentral:rRNA from 1 species
GAUGAACGCUGGCGGCGUGCCUAAUACAUGCAAGUCGAGCGAACGGACGAGAAGCUUGCUUCUCUGAUGUUAGCGGCGGACGGGUGAGUAACACGUGGAUAACCUACCUAUAAGACUGGGAUAACUUCGGGAAACCGGAGCUAAUACCGGAUAAUAUUUUGAACCGCAUGGUUCAAAAGUGAAAGACGGUCUUGCUGUCACUUAUAGAUGGAUCCGCGCUGCAUUAGCUAGUUGGUAAGGUAACGGCUUACCAAGGCAACGAUGCAUAGCCGACCUGAGAGGGUGAUCGGCCACACUGGAACUGAGACACGGUCCAGACUCCUACGGGAGGCAGCAGUAGGGAAUCUUCCGCAAUGGGCGAAAGCCUGACGGAGCAACGCCGCGUGAGUGAUGAAGGUCUUCGGAUCGUAAAACUCUGUUAUUAGGGAAGAACAUAUGUGUAAGUAACUGUGCACAUCUUGACGGUACCUAAUCAGAAAGCCACGGCUAACUACGUGCCAGCAGCCGCGGUAAUACGUAGGUGGCAAGCGUUAUCCGGAAUUAUUGGGCGUAAAGCGCGCGUAGGCGGUUUUUUAAGUCUGAUGUGAAAGCCCCACGGCUCACCGUGGAGGGUCAUUGGAAACUGGAAAACUUGAGUGCAGAAGAAGAAAGGUGGAAUUCCAUGUGUAGCGGUGAAAUGCGCAGAGAUAUGGAGGAACAACAGUGGGCGAAGGCGACUUUCUGGUCUGUAACUGACGCUGAUGUGCGAAAGCGUGGGGAUCAAACAGGAUUAGAUACCCUGGUAGUCCACGCCGUAAACGAUGAGUGCUAAGUGUUAGGGGGUUUCCGCCCCUUAGUGCUGCAGCUAACGCAUUAAGCACUCCGCCUGGGGAGUACGACCGCAAGGUUGAAACUCUAAGGAAUUGACGGGGACCCGCACAAGCGGUGGAACAUGUGGUUUAAUUCGAAGCAACGCGAAGAACCUUACCAAAUCUUGACAUCCUUUGACAACUCUAGAGAUAGAGCCUUCCCCUUCGGGGGACAAAGUGACAGGUGGUGCAUGGUUGUCGUCAGCUCGUGUCGUGAGAUGUUGGGUUAAGUCCCGCAACGAGCGCAACCCUUAAGCUUAGUUGCCAUCAUUAAGUUGGGCACUCUAAGUUGACUGCCGGUGGCAAACCGGAGGAAGGUGGGGAUGACGUCAAAUCAUCAUGCCCCUUAUGAUUUGGGCUACACACGUGCUACAAUGGACAAUACAAAGGGCAGCGAAACCGCGAGGUCAAGCAAAUCCCAUAAAGUUGUUCUCAGUUCGGAUUGUAGUCUGCAACUCGACUACAUGAAGCUGGAAUCGCUAGUAAUCGUAGAUCAGCAUGCUACGGUGAAUACGUUCCCGGGUCU